CCAAAAUAUAACUUUUGACAUUUAAAGUAAAUAUUCUUUACAUCAUUCAUUAAAGCAAGUUCAUAAUACUAAAAUCAUCAAAUACAAAAGAUGAUAGUAAAGGUUGUGCAACUACAAAAUGAAAUCCAUCUCGGACGGUCUCUACCUAGGGCAUCGGGCGCGAUGCCCUUACCGCGAUCAUCUGCCGGCUCGCUCGGUCCCGGCUGUGUGGAAAUAGUGGGGUGAGAACUACAACAAAGUUCCCAGUGGGUUCGGCAACCAACCACGCCGACUAUCCCACUAGGUCUAAUCAGGCAUAAUAGAAGAAAGAAUAGAUAAUAACCAACUAACAAAUGCAGCUAAUAUGCCUGAACAAUAAAUAAAAUUAUGCUCGAUAGAAUGCUCAUGAUGAAUGCAAGAUUAACUUUUCAUUACCCAAUCUCAUGGCUAGCCCGUAGAUUUUGCCCUCACAAACUCACCAACCCAAAUCCCUAUUGUCGGGGAGAUAACCGCUACAACCCGACGGGACCGCCCUCUGGGGAGAUAACCGCUACGACCCAGUGAUGACAACUCCGGAGCACAUCGCCCGAGAGGGAGCUACCGCCCUCGAGCAAGGACUAUUAGGUGAGUACGAUCAAUCCUUAACUUUAAGGAUUUUAAGUUCAAUCCAUUCCUUGACUUCAAGGAGAACCAUGUACAUAUGACCCUUAAUUCUAAGGUGUUUAUGUCAUAAUGUCACUACUUGUUCUUAUUCUUUGUCAAUGAUGCCACACUUGUUUUCUAAGUCCUCUAGACUCAUCAAUGUCACUUGCUAAAUCUAUGUCAACAUGUCACAUUUGUUUACUAACCCUUCUAGGUUCUUGUCCCUUGUCAUGCAUAUAUAGGGUUACCAAUUCUCAUUCAUUUACUACUAUUUCUCAAGCAUUAGAACUCAUA
rnacentral:lncRNA from 1 species